rnacentral:rRNA from 1 species
UACGUAGGGAGCAAGCGUUACUCGGAAUCACUGGGCAUAAAGGGCGUGUAGGCGGGUGCGUAAGUCCGGUGUGAAAUCCCUCGGCUCAACCGAGGAAGGCCAUCGGAUACUGCGUGUCUUGAGUGUGGAAGGGGAGAGUGGAACUCUUGGUGGAGCGGUGAAAUGCGUAGAUAUCAAGAGGAACGCCGGUGGCGAAAGCGGCUCUCUGGUCCAUAACUGACGCUGAGGCGCGAAAGCUAGGGGAGCAAAGGGG